rnacentral:rRNA from 1 species
UGCGUAGGCGGAUUCUUAAGUGGGAUGUGAAAUACCCGGGCUCAACUUGGGUGCUGCAUUCCAAACUGGGAAUCUAGAGUGUGGGAGAGGAAAGUGGAAUUCCUAGUGUAGCGGUGAAAUGCGUAGAGAUUAGGAAGAACACCAGUGGCGAAGGCGACUUUCUGGACCAUAACUGACGCUGAGGCACGAAAGCGUGGGAGCAAACA